rnacentral:lncRNA from 1 species
UUUGCACAAAUGUGAAUGCUAUCUCUCUCGAGAACCCAGUGAUGAAGAUUUAGGGUAGGCAUGUUUAUUUUGGAGUGCAACAUGUUAAUGAGGUACAUGUACUUCUGGUUACUGACAUGGAAAAUUUUGAAACAAAGAUUCAUGAGCCAGGCACCUGGAUGGGUAAUAUUCUGUACCUAGAUAGAGAGGUUUCCUGGGCUACUACCAAGAAAGGGAUCAG